UACCCAUAGAGUCUAUGGGGUAUUUGCUACAUAGGUCUAUGGCAUAGACCAAUAAAUUAAGUUUUUUUUAGGUCUAUGCAAAUAUCUUAUCCGUUUUUUUAAAAAUUAACCGUUUUUAAUUUUACAAACAAACAUUUUUAAUUUCCUACAAACAAUAGCUAUAGCUGUAUUAAGCUGAAUAUUUAUUUCACUAUUCGAACGUACGGACGAAUCAAACGUCCAGUACGACAGUUCGGUAAUUAUUAAAAUCUAAUAUUUUGUAUUUUAUAAUUGGAUUUAAUAGUUUUUGUCAAUACUGUUAUAAUAUAUUGUGUGUAAUAUUGUUUGAAGUAUAUCUAUAUUUAUGUAUCACGCAUACUAUUAUUAUGUAUUAUAGUUAAUUUCACUUAUUAUUUUUAUCAGCAAUUAUUGUUUUGUAUUGACGAUUAUUAUUGAAUAAUUUCCCUCGUUUUCAGAUUCAUAGGUCACUCAAUGAUGUCCCAUGGACAUCUUAUGCGAAGAGAAGAACCAACACCGUGCCAAACCUGCGGGGAACUUCCUACAGUCUAACACCUCUUCGUGUACUGACGAAACCGUAUAGAAACCAGAUAAAAACCUAAGGAAUGCCUAACAAUCUUUUCGAAACUCUAAGUCCAAUUGAAGAAAACGUCAACCUGUAUUUUUUUCUACAAUAUGUAAUUGUUUAAUACCUAUUAAAUAUAUCACGGUGUCACGUGC